rnacentral:rRNA from 1 species
UACGUAGGUGGCGAGCGUUGUCCGGAAUUACUGGGUGUAAAGGGAGCGUAGGCGGGAGAGCAAGUCGACUGUGAAAUCUAUGGGCUUAACCCAUAGCUGCGAUCGAAACUGUUCAUCUUGAGUGAAGUAGAGGCAGGCGGAAUUCCUAGUGUAGCGGUGAAAUGCGUAAAUAUUAGGAGGAACACCAGUGGCGAAGGCGGCCUGCUGGGCUUUAACUGACGCUGGGGCUCGAAAGCGUGGGUAGCAAACAGG